rnacentral:rRNA from 1 species
CCUACGGGUGGCAGCAGUGGGGAAUAUUGGACAAUGGGGGAAACCCUGAACCAGCGAAGCCGCGUGAGUGAAGAAGGAUUUCGGUACGUAAAGCUCUAUCAGCAGGAAAGAAAAUGACGGUACCUGACUAAGAAGCCCCGGCUCACUACGUGCCAGCAGCCGCGGUAAUCCGUAGGGGGCACGCGUUAUCCGGAUUUAAUGGGUGUGAAGGGAGCGUAGACGGGAGCGCAAGUCUGGAGUGAAAUGCCGGGGCCCAACCCCGGAACUGCUCUUGAAACUGGGAAGCUGGAGUGCACGAGAGGUAAGCGGAAUGCCUGGUGUAGCGGUGAAAUGCGUAGAUAUCAGGAGGAACACCGGCGGCGAAGGCGGCUUACUGGCCUCUAACUGACGUUGAGGCUCGAAGGCGUGGGGAGCAAACAGGAUUAGAUACCCGAGUAGUC